rnacentral:misc_RNA from 1 species
GAUGAAGAACGUAGCGAAAUGCGAUAAGUAAUGUGAAUUGCAGAAUUCCGUGAAUCAUCGAAUCUUUGAACGCACAUUGCGCCCCUUGGUAUUCCGGGGGGCAUGCCUGUUCGAGCGUCAUUUCAACCCUCAAGCUCUGCUUGGUAUUGGGCUCCGUCCUCAGGGACGCGCCUCAAAGACCUCGGCGGUGGCGUCUUGCCUCAAGCGUAGUAGAAAACACCUCGCUUUGGAGUGCUGGGCGUCGCCCGCCGGACGAACCUUUGAAUUUUUCUCAAGGUUGACCUCGGAUCAGGUAGGGAUACCCGCUGAACUUAAGCAUAUCAAUAAGCGGAGGA